GUAACUAACUGGAAACGGUAGCUAAUACCGCAUAACGUCGCAAGACCAAAGAGGGGGACCUUCGGGCCUCUUGCCAUCAGAUGUGCCCAGAUGGGAUUAGCUAGUAGGUGGGGUAACGGCUCACCUAGGCGACGAUCCCUAGCUGGUCUGAGAGGAUGACCAGCCACACUGGAACUGAGACACGGUCCAGACUCCUACGGGAGGCAGCAUG
rnacentral:rRNA from 1 species